rnacentral:tRNA from 1 species
GGGGAACUAGCUCAGUUGGGAGAGCGCCUGCCUUGCACGCAGGAGGUCAGGGGUUCGAAUCCCCUGUUCUCCA